rnacentral:lncRNA from 1 species
AAAAUCCUUCAUUAUUACUCUCUCUCACGGAAAUGAAAAGAGGGAAUAAAUUCCAUGUAGAAUAACUAGGGACUCAUGACCAAUAAAAUGACUCUCUCUCUCUCUCUCUCUCUCUCUCUCACGGAAAUGAAAAGAGGGAAUAAAUUCCAUGUAGAAUAACUAGGGACUCAUGACCAAUAAAAUGACUCUCUCUCUCUCUCUCUCUCUCUCUCUCUCUCAUGCAUCAAUAAUAUAUCAUCAUCACUACAAGACAAUUUAUU